rnacentral:rRNA from 1 species
AGAGUUUGAUCAUGGCUCAGGAUGAACGCUAGCUACAGGCUUAACACAUGCAAGUCGAGGGGCAGCAUGUUGGUUGCUUGCAACCAAUGAUGGCGACCGGCGCACGGGUGAGUAACGCGUAUCCAACCUACCCUUGUCCAUCGGAUAACCCGUCGAAAGGCGGCCUAACACGAUAUGCGGUUCACAGCAGGCAUCUAAGGUGAACGAAAUGUGAAGGAGAAGGAUGGGGAUGCGUCUGAUUAGCUUGUUGGCGGGGUAACGCCACAAGGCUACGAUCGAGUAGGGGUUCUGAGAGGAACGGUCCCCCANAUUGGAACUGAGACACGGUCCAAACUCCGUACGGGAGGCA